rnacentral:rRNA from 1 species
CCUACGGGAGGCAGCAGUGGGGAAUAUUGCACAAUGGGGGAAACUCUGAUGCAGCGACGCCGCGUGCGUGAAGAAGUACUUCGGUAUGUAAAGCUCUAUCAGCAGGGAAGAAAAUGACGGUACCUGAGUAAGAAGCCCCGGCUAACUACGUGCCAGCAGCCGCGGUAAUACGUAGGGGGCACGCGUUUUCCGGAUUUACUGGGGGUAAAGGGAGCGUAGACGGGAGUGCAAGUCUGGAGUGAAAGGCGGGGGCUCAACCCCCGGACUGCUCUUGAAACUGUACGGCUGGAGUGCAGGAGAGGUGAGUGGAAUUCCUAGUGUAGCGGUGAAAUGCUUAGAUAUUAGGAGGAACACCAGUGGCGAAGGCGGCUUACUGGACUGUAACUGACGUUGAGGCUCGAAAGCGUGGGGAGCAAACAGGAUUAGAUACCCCUGUAGUC